GUGGUUCCCUGAUGGUUAGUGUUC
rnacentral:piRNA from 1 species